UACAGAGGUCUCAAGCGUUGUUCGGAUUCAUUGGGCGUAAAGCGUGCGUAGUCGGUUAUCUAAGUCGGGUGUGAAAUCCCCGGGCUCAACCUGGGAAUUGCGAUGGAGACUGCAAGGCUAGAAUCUGGCAGAGGGGGGUAGAAUUCCACGUGUAGCAGUGAAAUGCGUAGAUAUCUGGAGGAACACCGGUGGCGAAGGCGGCAUCCUGGACCGGUAUUGACGCUGAGGAGCGAAAGCCAGGGGAGCAAAGCGGG
rnacentral:rRNA from 1 species